GUGGGGAAUUUUGGACAAUGGGCGAAAGCCUGAUCCAGCCAUGCCGCGUGCAGGAUGAAGGCCUUCGGGUUGUAAACUGCUUUUGUACGGAACGAAAAGACUCCUUCUAAUAAAGGGGGUCCAUGACGGUACCGUAAGAAUAAGCACCGGCUAACUACGUGCCAGCAGCCGCGGUAAUACGUAGGGUGCAAGCGUUAAUCGGAAUUACUGGGCGUAAAGCGUGCGCAGGCGGUUAUAUAAGACAGAUGUGAAAUCCCCGGGCUCAACCUGGGAACUGCAUUUGUGACUGUAUAGCUAUAGUACGGUAGAGGGGGAUGGAAUUCCGCGUGUAGCAGUGAAAUGCGUAGAUAUGCGGAGGAACACCGAUGGCGAAGGCAAUCCCCUGGACCUGUACUGACGCUCAUGCACGAAAGCGUGGGGAGCAAACAGGAUUAGAUACCCGAGUAGUCC
rnacentral:rRNA from 1 species